CAGCAUAUGAAAAUACAUGUAGUUCUGACAGAUUUACUUUUAUACCAAAUAAUGCUGAGCUAAUUAAAGAAGACAUAAAUAGCUGAAGGAAUAUCUCACACUCCUGGAUCAGUUUUUCAAAAUAAGAUGUCAAUUUUCUGCCAAACUUUCUAUAUAGAUUCCAUACAAUCCCAAAGCUCUGAUGAGCCAGUAUUGUGUUCUUGUAGAAAUUUACAACCUCAUUCCAAAAUUUGUAUGGAAAUACAAAAGCCACAGUGAAAACCACUUUGAAAGAAAGCUGGAGAAAACAGUCUGACUCCAUAGUAACAUAUUUAUCAACAACUGUAAAAUAUUGUUACAAUAACAUAUUGAUCAAUGGAAUAUGCAGGUACACAAUAAACUAGAAUAGAGUCCAGAAAUAGAUUAAGAUAUACAUGCCCAAUUCAUUUUUUAUAAAGUGUCAGGGUAGUUUAACAAGGAUAGGACAUACUUUUCAACAAAUAGUGCUAGAACUAGACAGCCAUAUGCAAAAUAAAAUCACCAUCAUCUUGCUCUUCUUAUACAAAGUUAUGCAAAAAGUUAAUUACAAAUGGAUUAUAAAUCUAACUGUAAGAGCUAAAACUAUAAAACUCCUAAAAGAAAAUAUAAAGUCUUAGUAACCUUCAUUUGGGCAGUUUCUUAAAUUCAAUAUUAGUAUGAACUUUAAAAGGGAGUAAGACAGCCUUUGUGAAAAAUUUAAAACUUUUGCUUUCAAACAAUGCUUUUGAAAAAUGAAACAGGGUGAAGGAUGUAACUCAAUGAUACAUUUUUAACUAGCAUGUGUGAGGUCCUAUGUUGGAUCCACUUCACCACACACACACACACACACACACACACACAAAGUGUGGCAGAGUACACUCAGUACAUUUGCAGCCCAGGGCUCAAUGUCCAGCACCAAAAAAAAAAAGACAGUUUUUAUCUUUCAGAUUGAGAGAAUGUGUUUGCAAAACAUACUACCUGACAAAGAAUUUUUAUCUAGAGAAUAUAAAGAACCUUAUUACUCAAGAAAAUAAUUUUUAAAAUAUGGUGAAAAGACAUGAAAUAACACUAUACCAAGACAGAUACAGAGUAAAGAAGCACAUAAAAUGAUGUUCAGUAUUAUUAGUCUUUAAAGAAAUACGAAUUAAGAAGCCACCCAGACACCAGUGGCUGGGCAGCAGACUCCAGCUAGAUGCCUGCUGGGACAAUAGUGGUGAGGAUGCACAGACCUCAGGCAGGGUCCCACCCAGACACCACCAACUUGGGCAUGUAGGCGCCAGCCAAAGGCCCAUCUGGAAAACAGCUGUGCAGGCUUGCAGACCUAGCCAAAGACCUGGCAAGAUACCAUUGGUAAGUGUACACAGGCUCCAGCUAGAAGCCUGCAGGGACAACAGCCCAGUGCGGGGUUCCAGAAGCCAUCAUUCUGAAACAGGUAUUGGCAUAGUGGUGACCAGCAGAGAGGCCUCUCUGAGGCUUGCUGAGAAUUAAAGCCCACUGGGAUAGCAGUCACCUCAAUAAAGGCACAGAAGACUGCAUUAGUUGAAUGAGAAGAUGCCUAAACAAGGCUCAAAACCAGACUUCCAGAUCACCAAAGGCAACCUCAAGGGGCAAUGAGAUAAAACAAUCUGAAACUCAACCACGUGGACUCUAAACUAGCAAUGACAGGGGAUCUGGAAAAAAUAAAAUCAGAAAUAAUUUCUCAGGGGCCGGGGAUUUAGUUCAGUGGUUUUGCCGCCUGCUGCGCAAGCGCAAGGACCCAAGUUCAAUCCCCGGUACCAAAAAAAGAAAAAUAAUUUCUCAGACAACAGAUAUAAUGUCUAUAGGGAAAGACAUGAUUAACAACUCUGGAGCAGACACAGAUAAAAAAAAUAACAGAGGAGCUGAGAAAAUAAUGGCAUCCCAGCAUAGGAAACAAAUGGAAUCCAUAAAACAGAUGCAAACAGAUAUCCAAGAGAUUAAAAACUCCACUGAAAGUUUAUACAGCAGAAUGACCCAAUGUGAGGACAGAGUAUCAGAUAUAGAAGACAGGACUGCAAUUAGUGACCAGGAAAAGAAAGAUUUCUUAAAAAGACCAAGGGACCAUAAGAAAUUGAUCCAGCACCUGCUAGAUGAUGCAAAGAAUAACAUAAGACUGAUCAGUCAAUGAAGAAACAGGAGAGAGUGCAAAUAACAUAAAAAAAUUGCUCAAAGGGCUGAGGAUUUAGCUCAGUGGUUUCACCACUUGCUGUGCAAGCACAAGGACCCGAGUUUGAUCCCCAGUACCCCCCGAAAAAAAAUGCUCAAAGAAGUACUGGCAGAAAACUUCCUAAGCAAGGGAAAAGAAUUUGACAUAUAGAUAACUGAGGCAUGAUCCAACUAGCAAUGAUCAAACACAAUCUACACAGAGACAUAUAAUAGUCAAGAUUCCAGAAACCCAACUGAAGAACAAACUUCUACAAGCAGUUAAAAGAAAAAAAAAACAAAUCACAAAGGAAAGCCCAUCAGAAUCACAGCAGACUUCUCAACACAAACCCUCAAGGCAAGAAGAGCCUGGAGUGAAGUAUUUCAAGCCAGAUUAAUGUACCCUACAAAACUAUCUUUCAAAAUCGAUGGAAAAGGUACUUUCAUGACAAAGAGGAACUUCAUGAAUACCAAACCAGCACUUGAAAAAGUUUUAAACAGUAUCUUAGGAAAUGACAAUGAGGGUCACAACCCCAAGAAACCCAGCAGAAUGAAUCCAUCACACAUGAAAAGAAAUUAAACGCAAAGAGG
rnacentral:lncRNA from 1 species